rnacentral:rRNA from 1 species
AAGGCAAGGAGUUUAACUACAUGAUUAAUAUAAUUUUUUUUAACACCAAAUUUUAGGUAAAAUUAUUUUUGUUGAAAAUUUAAGUUUAUUAAUAAUUUAAGAAUUAAACAAGGAUUAGAUACCCUUCUAUUCUUAAAAUAUAAGAUCUAAAGGUAGUAUUUGUUAUAUUCAUGAAACCUAAAGAGUUUGGCGGUACUCUGACUAUUAGAGGAACCUAUUUCUUUAACCGUCAAUACACGUAAAAUCUUACUUGGUUAAAGUUUGUAUACCAUCAUCUUGCUUUUUUCUUAACAAAAAAGCUAAAAUAAUUUAUAAAUAAGUUAGAUCAAGGUGCAGCGUUUUCAAGGGUAAACGGGUUACAAUUUUUAAAUAUUGGAGAAAUUUUGAAAUAAUAUUUAUAAACUGGAUUUAAAAGUAAUUAAUUUAUUUAAUAUGACUUGAUGAAACUAAAAAAGUAUGUACAUAUUGCCCGUCGCUCUCUUAAAGAGAU